AACGAACGCUGGCGGCGUGCCUAAUACAUGCAAGUCGCACGAGAAAGUCCUUCGGGAUGAGUAUAGUGGCGCACGGGUGAGUAAUACAUAGGAACAUACCAUUUGGUGGGGAAUAACCACGGGAAACUGUGGCUAAUACCGCAUGGUGACGUGAGUCUAAAGAGGGCCUCUACUUGUAAGCUCUCGCCAAAUGAGUGGCCUAUGUCCCAUUAGCUAGUUGGCAGGGGUAAUGGCCUACCAAGGCAACGAUGGGUAGCUGGUCUGAGAGGAUGAUCAGCCACACUGGGACUGAGACACGGCCCAGACUCCUACGGGAGGCAGCAGUAGGGAAUUUUGCACAAUGGGCGCAAGCCUGAUGCAGCAACGCCGCGUGAGUGAAGAAGGACUCUUGGGUCGUAAAGCUCUUUCGGCUGGAAAGAAGGGGUUGCC
rnacentral:rRNA from 1 species